rnacentral:rRNA from 1 species
CCUACGGGUGGCAGCAGUGAGGAAUAUUGGUCAAUGGGCGUAAGCCUGAACCAGCCAAGUCGCGUGAGGGAUGAAGGUUCUAUGGAUCGUAAACCUCUUUUAUAAGGGAGUAAAGUGUGGGACGUGUCCUAUGUUGUAUGUACCUUAUGAAUAAGGAUCGGCUAACUCCGUGCCAGCAGACGGGGUAAUACGGAGGAUCCGAGCGUUAUCCGGAUUGAAUGGGUUUAAAGGGUGCGUAGGCGGCCUUUUAAGGCAGCGGUGAAAGUCUGUGGCUCAACCAUAGAAUUGCCGUUGAAACUGGGGGGCUUGAGUAUGUUUGAGGCAGGCGGAAUGCGUGGUGUAGCGGUGAAAUGCUUAGAUAUCACGCAGAACCCCGAUUGCGAAGGCAGCCUGCCAAGCCAUGACUGACGCUGAUGCACGAAAGCGUGGGGAUCAAACAGGAUUAGAUACCCUUGUAGUC